rnacentral:rRNA from 1 species
AUUGAACGCUGGCGGCAGGCCUAACACAUGCAAGUCGAGCGGAUGAAGGGAGCUUGCUCCUGGAUUCAGCGGCGGACGGGUGAGUAAUGCCUAGGAAUCUGCCUGGUAGUGGGGGAUAACGUCCGGAAACGGGCGCUAAUACCGCAUACGUCCUGAGGGAGAAAGUGGGGGAUCUUCGGACCUCACGCUAUCAGAUGAGCCUAGGUCGGAUUAGCUAGUUGGUGGGGUAAAGGCCUACCAAGGCGACGAUCCGUAACUGGUCUGAGAGGAUGAUCAGUCACACUGGAACUGAGACACGGUCCAGACUCCUACGGGAGGCAGCAGUGGGGAAUAUUGGACCAUGGGCGAUAGCCUGAUCCAGCCAUGCCGCGUGUGUGAAGAAGGUCUUCGGAUUGUAAAGCACUUUAAGUUGGGAGGAAGGGCAGUAAGUUAAUACCUUGCUGUUUUGACGUUACCAACAGAAUAAGCACCGGCUAACUUCGUG